rnacentral:ncRNA from 1 species
GUCGUGACUGCGUGCCUUUUGAAGAAUGAGCCUGCGAGUUUGCGGCAUGUUGCGAGGUUAACCCGUGUGGGGGAGCCGUAGCGAAAGCGAGUCCGAAGAGGGCGUUGAGUAGCGUGUUCAAGACCCGAAGCGGGGUGAUCUAGCCAUGGGCAGGGUGAAGCGGCUGUAAGAGGUCGUGGAGGCCCGAACCCACCAGGGUUGAAAACCUGGGGGAUGACCUGUGGUUAGGGGUGAAAGGCCAAUCAAACUCCGUGAUAGCUGGUUCUCCCCGAAAUGCAUUUAGGUGCAGCGUCGUGUGUUUCUUGCCGGAGGUAGAGCACUGGAUAGGCGAUGGGCCUUACCGGGUUACUGACCUUAGCCAAACUCCGAAUGCCGGUAAGUGAGAGCGCGGCAGUGAGACUGUGGGGGAUAAGCUCCAUGGUCGAGAGGGAAACAGCCCAGAGCAUCGACUAAGGCCCCUAAGCGUGUGCUAAGUGGGAAAGGAUGUGGAGUCGCAGAGACAACCAGGAGGUUGGCUUAGAAGCAGCCAUCCUUGAAAGAGUGCGUAAUAGCUCACUGGUCAAGUGAUUCUGCGCCGAUAAUGUAGCGGGGCUCAAGUACACCGCCGAAGUCGUGUCACUCCAGCAGUACUCCUAACGGGGGCUGGGGUGGGUAGGGGAGCGUCGUGUGCCGGGUGAAGCAGCCGUGGAAGCGAGUUGUGGACGGUUCACGAGUGAGAAUGCAGGCAUGAGUAGCGAUACAUGCGUGAGAAACGUGUGCGCCGAUUGACUAAGGGUUCCUGGGUCAAGCUGAUCUGCCCAGGGUAAGUCGGGACCUAAGGCGAGGCCGACAGGCGUAGUCGAUGGA